UACGUAGGGUGCGAGCGUUAAUCGGAAUUACUGGGCGUAAAGGGCAGGUAGGUGGUCUCGUUUGUCUGGGGUGAAAGCCCAGGGCUUAACCCUGGAAGUGCCCCGGAAACGGCGAGACUGGAGUCUGGAGAGGGUCGUGGAAUUCCCGGUGUAGCGGUGAAAUGCGUAGAUAUCAGGAGGAACACCAGUGGCGAAGGCGGCUUUCUGGACGAUAACUGACGCUGAGACGCGAAAGCGUGGGGAGCAAACAGG
rnacentral:rRNA from 1 species